rnacentral:rRNA from 1 species
ACGCUCGACACCUACGGGGGCAGCAGUAGGGAAUCUUCCACAAUGGACGCAAGUCUGAUGGAGCAACGCCGCGUGAGUGAAGAAGGUUUUCGGAUCGUAAAGCUCUGUUGUUGGUGAAGAAGGAUAGAGGUAGUAACUGGCCUUUAUUUGACGGUAAUCAACCAGAAAGUCACGGCUAACUACGUNCCAGUAGCCGCGGUAAUCUGAGCGGGCUGGCAAGGC